rnacentral:miRNA from 1 species
CUCUGGCUGUAGCGGUGUCUGUC